rnacentral:lncRNA from 1 species
UAUGAUCACAAACUGGACGUUUUAGGCAAAAACAAAUUAAAACCCACCGGAGGGAGGGGAAGCAACUAAACCCAGCACACCCUUGGAAGCAGUUUUUACCCUCUUUCCCAUUUGCCUCGUUUAUUGCUGCAACAAAUUAUUAGCAUUCCUAUUUAUUCUGCCUGUUUAAACCUGAAAAAUCGAAAAUCGUUUUGUACGGGUAGUAAAGGUAAGGGAUUUCUUCUUUAUUUCUUUCUCUCACGCUAUUCUCUGCAUUUUCUUUCUUUCCUUCUUUAUGUCAAUAGGAAGAAAAGAAAGGACCCGAAUAGAUUUUCUGUCCUUUCCCCCCACCCCACUCCAUUUCUGCAGGGAAGUACAAUCCUUGGAAUCGGGUUCUGGUUUCGCUUUGGGUUGGAGGUGGGUAGAUGAGAAUCCGGAGGGGCAGACCAGGGAGUGGAGGGACUCCGGAGGUGCUGCCGCACUGACCGGGGCCUGGAGACGGCACCGGCCCUUCCCGACUCAUCCCCCACCCUCCGCCUCAGGCUGGGGUCGCCCCUUUUGGCUUUGGCGCUGCGGCGGCUGCAGGAGCCUGGCUCAGAUCGUCCAGGACCACACCGCCGCCUGA